UACGUAGGGGGCAAGCGUUGUCCGGAUUUACUGGGCGUAAAGAGCGUGUAGGCGGCCAAGCAGGUCCGUUGUGAAAACUGGAGGCUCAACCUCCAGACGUCGACGGAAACCGCGUGGCUAGAGUCCGGAAGAGGAGAGUGGAAUUCCUGGUGUAGCGGUGAAAUGCGCAGAUAUCAGGAAGAACACCAAUGGCGAAGGCAGCUCUCUGGGACGGUACUGACGCUAAGGCGCGAAAGCGUGGGGAGCGAACAGG
rnacentral:rRNA from 1 species